GUGCGUGCGUGUGUGCGUGUGUGCGUGUGUGUGUGUGUUGGAUUUCCGUGGUCUCCUCAACCAGGGCAACCACAGAGAGACCUCCUGGUGGCAAAGGCCAGCAUCCUGCUUUCCUAAGCAUCUGAAAUGAAGGCUCUUCGGGUCCAACACCUGAGUCCUUGAGCUGACAAGACAGAAUUUGAGCUUCCAUAUUCAUCUGCUAACUCCUUCCUCCGCUGAGAAGUCUGCUUUCGUGAGGUUGCAUGGCUGACAGUCAUUUGGCUUCUUGGGCUGAUCCACAAGACCAGUAGCAUUAUGGGAAGGAGCUGGGAAGGAGCUGGGAAGGCCAGGAAGAUGCUCCUGAGCACCAGUUUCAAUGAGCAGAGGAACAACGGGCUUUAUGGACCAUUUCAUUCUGGAGUGCCAAGUAAACUAAGGUCCUUGCAGGCAGAGACAUUAUCCAGAACGUUCGGAGCAGAGGCAGUAUAAUUCACCACAUGAAAGAAAACCUUCACUAAGUUAAAAUCUUUGCUGUGCUGGGGCAUUGAAAAUAUUUGGAAAAUAAUCUUCAUUCCACAGUUUAGUAACAUCAUUCUUUAAAACCACUAAGGCUGUGAACAUUUUUCCCUUAUCUAGACUCUCGUCCCCCACAUGAAGGCCCAUUUGCACGCUGUGAGGACAUCUGUCUUGUUUAUAAUCCUCUUUGUCUGUCUUUAUCAAAUCCUUCAGCUGCGUGGAUCACUGGCCAUUCCCAGACAUCCCAUUUAAUGAGUCUUCUCCAAAGGCUGCUCUAUGGAGAACCUAUGUGCCUGGAAGAGGUCGAUGGUCUCACUUCAGCAUGCUUUAAGAAUUAACCAGGAAUCACAUAAAACUGACUGUAUGCAGGCUCUGUCCCUAAAUGAUCUGGACUCGGGAACCUCAAGGGACUUGUAUUUUCCCUGGAAAAUACACGUCACUUACUGUGUCAGCCUGCAAUCUAAGUGUGGGAUCCGCUGCAACAAGACAAGACACUGACAAUUGUCCCUUAUCUGUGUGUCUUGUCUUUUGUAUUCCAACAAAUCUGUAUAUUUGGUUGCCAAGCUGUGUGGCAAAUACAUACCAGUAACCUACCAGUGACCCAGACAGUAUCCUCAGAAAAGAUGACUCCUGUUUCAGAGGGACAUGGCCACUCCAAGUUGUGGGUCACACUGGCAGAAUCAGCCCAGAGCUCAGUCCUCACCCUGCCGUUGGCCACCAAAUAUUUGAACACGUGUGCUGUCCUCACUGUAUUUAAUGUAUGGAGA
rnacentral:lncRNA from 1 species